rnacentral:rRNA from 1 species
CGACUCCAUGAAGGCGGAAUCGCUAGUAAUCGCAGAUCAGCACGCUGCGGUGAAUACGUUCCCGGGCCUUGUACACACCGCCCGUCACACCAUGGGAGUCGAUUGCUCCAGAAGUCAUCUCACCAAGAGAUGCCCAAGGAGUGCUCGGUAACUGGGGUGAAGUCGUAACAAGGUAGCCGUAGGGGAACCUGCGGCUGGAUCACCUCCUUUCUAAG